rnacentral:lncRNA from 1 species
UUAAUUGUGGCAGAAUUUGUCUGAGAAUUGCUUUUAUUGCAGCAUACAACAUAGUAGAAGAUUUCUGGGGAAGGUCUCUAAAGCUCUCACCUACCUGAGAUUAUUGAAGAAGGUCAUGAUUCUAGAUGGGCACCCUGGCUUGGGUCAGACCAGAGGACAACAUCGCUUUUAAAUCGGUUCUUUCGACUGGAAAAGUAACAACAAAACUGAAUGGAUAAAUUGAGUCCUGAAUGGAUGUGUAUCUGUCAUGUGGAUACUCUAAAGGAAAAAGUGAGAGUAAAAACCAAAAUGAACACAUUGCCUCUUUACUUAAUGUAGAAUAGAAUGACUUUAUUCAACGAAAUUGAUGAGAAGGAAGCAUAAUCUGGAGACACAAAAUCUACAGGGUGCCAAGAAAGUGUCUUGGAAUUCUCAACUCCACCGACAGGAGAGGGGAGCUGUAGGAUAAUCCUCCACAUAUUUGCAUAUUAGAAGAGCACCUACAAACUGAAGGACCAAAGAACUGGUGGUCUGAUAAA